UACGUAGGGGGCAAGCGUUGUCCGGAAUCAUUGGGCGUAAAGCGCGUGUAGGCGGUCCGGUAAGUCGGCUGUGAAAGUCCAGGGCUCAACCCUGGGAUGCCGGUCGAUACUGCCGGACUAGAGUUCGGAAGAGGCGAGUGGAAUUCCCGGUGUAGCGGUGAAAUGCGCAGAUAUCAGGAAGAACACCAAUGGCGAAGGUAGCUCUCUGGGACGGUACUGACGCUGAGACGCGAAAGCGUGGGGAGCGAACAGG
rnacentral:rRNA from 1 species